AUUGGAAUAAUUUACUGCAUGGGUGUUUAAUCAAAGGUUUUGCUCAGCCAUAUGCUGAUUAUUGUUUGCAUACUAAACAAGGAAUAAGACAGAUUUUGUUUUGGGUAGAUAUUAUUGCAGCCAGUAACAGUAUAGCUCUAAACAGUAUCAAGGAAUUUCUUAAAGAUAAAGUUAAGAACUUGCCCUUGAGGAUAGUGUGCGUGAGUGUGUAUGUGCGUGUCUGAAUGCGUGGGCGCCGUGUGGGCGGUUGUGAGGCCCCCGUUAGCGAAAUUUGGCGGGAGAGUUGGUGUGGGUCGCGGUGCUGGGCGUGGGGACGCCAGCCCGCUGGCAGUUCUCGCUAGGAUUCAGUCCCAGGAAGGUGUGUGCAGCCCUCGCUCAUGUGGAGGGCAGCGUAGCGUCCUGCACCCGACUAAGGACGUUGAGCCAGUCUGCAAGUGUGCCGUGCGUGUGACUGUGACAUUAGGGAACUAGAAAUUGUGCCAUGACUAUGUAAUGUGCCUGCCACGUGACUGCAUAUUUCUCUUUCCAAGGUACCUUGAGGAAGUGUUCCGUCUACAGAUUACAAGGAUUCAGUAAAGUCCUGCGUCAGGCUUCCGUGUAGCCAGCGCAGGUGUAAGUGUUACGUGUGGCCACUUCUGUUUCCUGUCUACCCCCUGGACUGCUGGGAAACGCGGCUGGUGGGUAUGUGUGCGGUGAGUAUAGCCCGACCAGCGAGUGCCGUGCAGCAGUGGAAGCAGAUGGUGACAGUGGGGUUCGUAACAAUAAGUUCUGGAUGAAAGACACGGGGAGCUUAGCAUAGUUUUUGGGAAUUGAAUUUGUGUUUAAAGAUCGCUGUAUCAUAAUGAGAGAGGAUGCUAGAGAAAUUUAACGUGACUUAUUGUAAAACUUAAUCAAUCCCAUUUGACCAAGGUGUCCAUGUGUCAAGAUGACAAGUGAGGAUUCCAGAGAACUAGAUAACCCUAAUGUAUCAUGAAUAUGAUAUUUAUGAAAUUAUGCUUCUUGUAAGGGUUGAUCCCACGCAUAAAGUCAUUUGCUCGUUCGCUGACGUGGCAGCGUCUUGGUGAGGGCUGUGGGGCAGACUUGAGCCAGUCCUGCCGGUCUACACCCCGUGGAUGGUUCAUCUUGCUACUGUGUUAUGUCAUGUGACUACGUCUCUUGAACGCUUGGAUUUGGUGGAGCAAGGUGGCCAGGGUUUGGGACCAGUGCAAGUGAUCUCAGGACUGCUUCGGGCUCCUUAGGACCAGUGAUGUUACGCUGCAUGGUAACGGUCCGAGUGGUGACACGUGUGCAGAUUUGAAGCGGCUGUCCAGCAUUGCUUAGGACGAAACUGCUAUAGGGCCACUGAAGUAUGUAUACCUUUCAGCAUUUCUUUCCGUAUAGUGAUUAUUAUUUACAUACAUGUGUAUGGUGAAAUUAGUUCAGGGAUUUGGUACAAUAUUUUCGCUUUUUCUCGGGGAUAUUUUACCACAAUCAGCAUUGGAUCCAUGUUUUGAGGUGUAUUUGUAUCAUUAUCAUUGUGAGUUUAUUGAUUAUUGUACUGGCCAGGAUUACAUUGUCAGUAUCAUUCUCUUAUUGUGAUGUAUUUAACAGGUUAAAAUUUAACAUUUGACAACGCUCAGCCCGGAUACUUUCGUCCAACACUUACGCUGUACAAGGAAAUUGUUGGUAACUUGAGCUAUGUAAUGGCUGGUACAAGACCUGAUCUAUGCUCUGUUGUCACUAAAUUAUCUGAACAUAUGUCAAAACCAACACAAGUACACCUUGGUUUGGCUAAGCAUGGGCACUCUUGAUUACUGUAUUAAAUUUUCUAGAUCGAUGAUCCACUGAAAUUAGUAGGGUACAGUGAUGCUGAUUGGGGUAGUAUUUCUGAGUAUACCUUCUACUUGAAUAAUUAUGGUCCAUUGAUCUCGUGGAAAAGUAAGAAAAAAUGUUGUAGCUUUGUCCACUUGUGAAGCAGAGUACAUGAUCAUAACUAAUGCAAUGCAAGAAGGGAACUUUUUUAAGACAGUUGUAGUAUGACAUGAAUUACCGUGACAAGCAGGUAUGUGGAUAAUCAAGGAGCAGUGGCAUUCGCUAAAAACCCUGUGCAGCAUCAGAGAUCAAAACAUAUAGACAUUAAGUAUCAUUACAUUAGAUCUGAGGUGGAACAGGGUAUUAGUGAUUUGAGAUAUGUUCCCACUGAAGAUAAUAUUUCUGACAUUUUCACAAAGCCAAUGUCAAAAAAUAAAUUGAUGAAAUCCAGUGUUAUUAACGGAGCAACUUAAGAUUGAGAGAAAGUUAAGAUAUAAGUACAGUAAACUUCUUGGGAAUAGAAAUUAUAGUAUUAUUAUCAUUGCUGUUAUUUUUAUUAUCAUUUAUUGGAAAAAUGUUUUGGCCCUUUUGUUAACUGUAUGUAACUUGGCACCUUCUUUACACUAUAGCAGUGAGACGCUCCAGCUGUGAAAGUAAACAUCGUCACUACUGGC